UUUCGCGCAAAAACAAAGUGCCAAAAUUUUUUUCAUUUCCCUCUCUGUGCCAUGAAUAUAUUUUGUUUCCUUCACUUUCAGACCCAUACUCGAAAACCCCCCAAACCCCAAACACAGAAACCCCAAUGGAGAGACCCAUACUUGGAAACCCCCAAACCCCAAAGGCAGAAACCCCAACGGAGAGACCCAAACUCAAACCUCAGUUAGCGUCGAAACCCCAAACGGAGAGACCCAAACCCACGGUAGAGCCAUCUGCGGUUCUUUCGAGCUCCAUCGGAUAUGGCUCCUCCCAUCUCCCUCUACACUUGCACGGCUGACUAUUAAGUUUUUGGCUGGUAUUGGUGGUGGUGGGCUUGGGUUCUUCGCUGUGAAAAUGUCACCGAUUCCACUCUCUUAAUUUACUAGCACAAUUUUUCUUUUAAUCGCAAUCGCAAUCCCUCUGCACUUGCACGGCUGAAUUUGAUUUGCUACAUUCAAGAUGGUCGAAUUAUUUAAAAAUAUAAGGGAGAUGAUGUUGCAUCACACAUUCUCUUUGUCUCUCGCCCUUUACUAGAUGACUGUGAUGAAGCCUAGACACCUCGUGUUGUGGCUCACUGUCUUCAGGUUCAUACGAAUGUGAUGGGGUAGCUAGUUAGGAUCUUUCUUUAGACCUCUUGGACUAUCCAUAAUCUCAUUUAUGUCAGCAAUUAUGUAAGUUCAUUCAAAUGUAUAUUGUUCUUUUUUUUAUAUGUCUGAUUUCUUGUUUUUUUUUCUUUUCGUUUGGGAUCUAGCUUUUUGAGUUAUUAUGUUUGCAUCUUCCCUAAUAAAGGACUGUAGAUUGUAUUUUAUUUGGGAACUCAGCCCUAUUCAAGCAAAUGCGAUCAUUUUGUAUGACAUUGGCAUAUCUAUUUUGUUUAUAUGCUGAUUGGGUUACAUACCUUGAUGUGUGGUAGUUGGUUCAAAGUUUGUGUUUAUAUGCUAUAAUGGCUUUAAUUCAACAAGCAAGACUUGAUUUGAUAAAAAUUAGUUGAUUGUAUAUUUAUCUACACCCAAUUGCAAUAACUGCUAAAAUACUUAGCCCACUAUAUAUUAUGAUUUACAUUUGCUGUACAUAAAUUGUUGCAAAAGAAUCUCUAUAAACAUUUAUGAUCUCAUUUGUUAGUGGAAAACUGAUCUUAAACACUAAACUUACUAGAUUUUUUAAUUUUGUUAAAUAUGGGUGUUGCUGCACUUUAGAAGUACAUAGGGAACUUAGGUGGUAUAUAUGUUAUAUAGGAGCCUUUAAUGUUUCCUCAAGCACCUAUUUUACUCCAAAAGACUUAAAUAUGUAAAUUAUUCCAGAAAACGUAGAAAAGAAUGAGGGACCUGAGACACCAGCUAGGACUAUGAAGCCGUCUUUUCUCGUAACACUACUCAGGUCAGUUUAGACACAAUGUUUGAUGUACAGAUCAAGAGAAUACAUGAGUACAAAAGACAGUUGCUUAAUAUCCUCGACAUUAUCCAUCGAUAUGAUUGUAUCAAGAAUAUGAAUGAGAGUGACAGGAGGAAGGUUGUACUGUGUGUAUUUGGGCAUAUGGAAAGAAUGAGAGAUAUGUUUCUAAAGACAUUUAGUGAGAUCAUAUGCUUUACUAAGUGUUUUUUAUUGCUUGACCAUUCAGAACUUUAUUUUAUCUAAGAACCUAUGCACAUUGUGUGAGCGUGACUGUUUCUAUGCAGCACUGCAGGGCAUGAGGCCUCAGGAACUGGUAGCAUGAAAUUUCUUAUGAAUGGAUGUCUACUCUUAGCUGCAGCUGAUGGUUCAACAGUUGAAAUUAUUGAAGAAAUUGGGGCAGAAAAUAUGUUUUUGUUUGGUGCAAAGCUGGAUGAAGUUCCCAUCUUGCGUGAGAGAGGACCCAACACGAAAGUGAAUCUGCAAUUUGCACGGGUUGUGAGGUAGUACCUGUUUUCCCUUUUCACUGCCAGUUCAUUAUCAUUUGAUCAUCAAUAUCCCAACAGAUGCUUGCCACAGCUAAUUUAGUGAACUAGUCACAUGCAAUUUCUAACUGACAGUAAAACUAGCUUUCAGAUAGAUAGUUCGACUUACCGAAUCAAAUUUGCCGAAGUAUUCAAUAUUGUGCUUUUGUCCAGCCUUUGUUUUGGACGGCCAAAAAAUUAAAAUUCUGAUGCUUGCUCGAAGCAUACCUUGAUAGGUUUUCCUUAGAAUAGGAUCAACCUGUUAGACCCAAACACAAUAUUACAAAGAGUGGAGAAUGGUCCCAGAAGAUGUGAGAGCUCCAUUGCGACACUAUCUUUUGGAACAUUUUGACAUCAACUUGAAUGAUGAGACAACUAAAAAAUACAUUGAUGAACAAAUGAAAAAAGCUUGGAAGGGUCAUUGUGGGUAAUCAACCAACUUAUGAAGAGUUAGUUGAACGACUUAAUGAUACAACUUCCCGCCUUAAUGCUACUAACGAACAACUUAGUGUAGUUGUGGAUAUAAUUCGUCAUAAAAAUUUGAUGGCACCGCCCCGACCACCUCCAACAGACCAAGCUUCAGAUGCAAAUUUAAGAGAGUCACCAUCUAUUUCAGUUCGAGAGUCACAAGAUGAUUCUUAGUUUAUUUACAUUAAUUUACUAAGGAAUGAACUUUAUGAAGUUUUUUUUUAUUUUGGUAGGGGUAACCUUAAAAUGAUAACUUUAUGACUUAUUUUAGUAUUGAACAUUAUAAAGAAUUUUAGCAUUAAACAUUUUAUUA